rnacentral:rRNA from 1 species
UAGCUUAAAACCCAAAGGACUUGGCGGUGUCUCAGACCCCCUAGAGGAGCCUGUUCUAGAUCCGAUAAUCCCCGUUAAACCUCACCCCUCUUAUCCAUCCCAGCCUAUAUACCGCCGUCGUCAGCCUACCCUGUGAAGGUAACAAAAGUAAGCAAAAUGGGCAUCACCCAAAACGUCAGGUCGAGGUGUAGCGUAUGGAGUGGAAAGAAAUGGGCUACAUUUUCUCUUAUAGAAUACCACGAAUAUGCACCAUGAACAUAGUGCUUGAAGGAGGAUUUAG